rnacentral:rRNA from 1 species
AUUGAACGCUGGCGGCAUGCUUUACACAUGCAAGUCGGACGGCAGCACAGAGAAGCUUGCUUCUUGGGUGGCGAGUGGCGAACGGGUGAGUAAUAUAUCGGAACGUACCGAGUAAUGGGGGAUAACUAAUCGAAAGAUUAGCUAAUACCGCAUAUUCUCUGAGGAGGAAAGCAGGGGACCUUCGGGCCUUGCGUUAUUCGAGCGGCCGAUAUCUGAUUAGCUAGUUGGGGGGGUAAAGGCCUACCAAGGCGACGAUCAGUAGCGGGUCUGAGAGGAUGAUCCGCCACACUGGGACUGAGACACGGCCCAGACUCCUACGGGAGGCAGCAGUGGGGAAUUUUGGACAAUGGGCGCAAGCCUGAUCCAGCCAUGCCGCGUGUCUGAAGAAGGCCUUCGGGUUGUAAAGGACUUUUGUCAGGGAAGAAAAGGCUGUUGCUAAUAUCAAUAGCUGAUGACGGUACCUGAAGAAUAAGCACCGGCUAACUACGUG